rnacentral:rRNA from 1 species
GAUGAACGCUGGCGGCGUGCCUAAUACAUGCAAGUCGAGCGAACAGACGAGGAGCUUGCUCCUCUGACGUUAGCGGCGGACGGGUGAGUAACACGUGGAUAACCUACCUAUAAGACUGGGAUAACUUCGGGAAACCGGAGCUAAUACCGGAUAAUAUAUUGAACCGCAUGGUUCAAUAGUGAAAGACGGUUUUGCUGUCACUUAUAGAUGGAUCCGCGCCGCAUUAGCUAGUUGGUAAGGUAACGGCUUACCAAGGCAACGAUGCGUAGCCGACCUGAGCGGGUGAUCGGCCAGACUGGAACUGAGACACGGUCCAGACUCCUACGGGAGGAAGCAGUAGGGAAUCUUCCGCAAUGGGCGAAAGCUUGACGGAGCAACGCCGCGUGAGUGAUGAAGGUCUUCGGAUCGUAAAACUCUGUUAUUAGGGAAGAACAAAUGUGUAAGUAACUAUGCACGUCUUGACGGUACCUAAUCAGAAAGCCACGGCUAACUACGUG